rnacentral:lncRNA from 1 species
CCUGGGACAGCUUUUUUUCUGCCUUUCGACUCAAACUACACCAUCAGCUUUCCUGGUUCCCAGGCCUUCAGAUUCUGCUGGAACCAAACCAUUGUCUCUCCUGGGUCUCCAGAUUGCUGACUCACCCUGCAGAUCUUGGGAUUUGCCAGCCUUCAUAAUCAUGCUCUGCUGUCAGAGAGAGGAGAGGAGAAGAGAAGCAGCUGGACUUCGGAGACUAUGGCUGGACAUCAGAGAGAAGCAGCUUGACUUCAGAGGGACAGCUUGAUGGUGUUGCUUCAGAGAAGAGUCCGGCUGGCCAGGGGAAGAUUAUCUUCCUGCUCUGGACCCUUUUCAGCUCCCCUUCCCACUGAGAGUCACUUUCAUCAGCAAUAAAAUCUCCCACGUUAU